UGUUGUUGUGUUGUUGUUGUGUUGUUGUUGUACCUGGGUGAGGGUCAUGCCGCUCUUCAUGAGUUGUUGUUGUGUUGUUGUGUUGUUGUUGUUGUACCUGGGUGAGGGUCAUGCCGCUCUUCAUGAGCUGUGUUGUUGUGUUGUUGUUGUGUUGUUGUUGUUGUACCUGGGUGAGGGUCAUGCCGCUCUUCAUGAGUUGUUGUUGUUGUGUUGUUGUUGUGUUGUUGUUGUGUUG